UACGUAGGCAGCAAGCGUUGUUCGGAAUUACUGGGCGUAAAGAGUGUGUAGGCGGUGCUCUAAGUCUGUCGUGAAAUCUCCCGGCUUAACUGGGAGGGUGCGGCGGAAACUGGAGUGCUGGAGGGUGGGAGAGGAAAGCGGAAUUCCUGGUGUAGCGGUGAAAUGCGUAGAUAUCAGGAGGAACACCUGCGGUGUAGACAGCUUUCUGGACCACUUCUGACGCUGAGACACGAAAGCGUGGGUAGCAAACAGG
rnacentral:rRNA from 1 species